rnacentral:lncRNA from 10 species
CAUACUCGAAGGAGGGAGAUUUUUAUUUGUAAGGACAUUUGUAUUAUCUUUCAUUAAAGUAGAGUCCCAUGGGCGUGGCAAAUGGCUGUAAAUAAAGUAAAAGUGGCUAAAGAAAACAGUGCCUGCUAUUAGCUUGAUGCUGGCAUUUUCUUCUUUCCCUGGAUGUGACUGUUAUUGUCUUUAUUGGGUCCCCUUAUUAUCUGCUUUGAUAUCCAUCUCUGGAACUUUGAUCUCUAAUUUUUUUUUUUUUUUUUUGAGACAGAGUCUCACUCUGUAGCCCAAGUUAGAGUGCAGUGACACGAUCUUGGCUCACUGCAACCUCCACCUCCGGGGCUCAAGCAAUUCUCGUGACUCAACAUCCCAAAUAGCUGGGACUGUAGGCACGCACCACCAUGCCCAGCUGAUGUUUUGUAUUUUUACAAAAAUUUUUCACCAUGUUGGCCAGGGUGGUCUCAAACUCCUAAGCUCAGGAGAUCCGCCUGCCUCAGCCUUUGAAAGUGCUGGGAUUACAGGCGGGAGCCACCGUGCCCGACCUGACCUCUCCAUCUUUGGCGUCCUUAUGCUGCCUCUUCUCCAAAUACAUGUUGGCCAGGGUGGUCUCAAACUCCUAAGCUCAGGAGAUCCGCCUGCCUCAGCCUCUGAAAGUGCUGGGAUUACAGGCGGGAGCCACCGUGCCUGACCUGACCUCUCCAUCUUUGGCGUCCUUAUGCUGCCUCUUCUCCAAAUACAGUAACUAAUCUAGUAUAUUUUCAUAGGAUAGAAUUUGCCCUUUCUGUCCCAUAAUAUGUUCCUCUUCCCCAAAAAGUUUUUUGUUGGUCUCUUUGGUAAUAAAACAUUUAGAGCAUUUACUGUGGGCCAGGUGCUUUACCUCAUGUUAGCCUUAUAACAGAGAUGCGGAAGUACAGGACUACCAGUGCAGCCAAGAUGCACAGCACCAGGAUU